rnacentral:misc_RNA from 1 species
GAUGAAGAACGCAGCGAAAUGCGAUAAGUAAUGCGAAUUGCAGAAUUCCAGUGAAUCAUCGAAUCUUUGAACGCACAUUGCGCCCGCCAGUAUUCUGGCGGGCAUGCCUGUCUGAGCGUCAUUUCAACCCUCAUGCCCCUAGGGCGUGGUGUUGGGGAUCGGCCAAAGCCCGCGAGGGACGGCCGGCCCCUAAAUCUAGUGGCGGACCCGUCGUGGCCUCCUCUGCGAAGUAGUGAUAUUCCGCAUCGGAGAGCGACGAGCCCCUGCCGUUAAACCCCCAACUUUCCAAGGUUGACCUCAGAUCAGGUAGGAAUACCCGCUGAACUUAAGCAUAUCAAUAAGCGGAGGA